AUUGAACGCUGGCGGCAGGCCUAACUCAUGCAAGUCGAACGACUGGCGGACGGGUGAGUAAUGUCUGGGAAACUGCCUGAUGGAGGGGGAUAACUACUGGAAACGGUAGCUAAUACCGCAUACCAUCGGAUGUGCCCAGAUGGGAUUAGCUGGUAGGUGGGGUAAAGGCUCACCUAGGCGCCGAUCCCUAGCUGGUCUGAGGGGCUGACCAGCCACACGGGAAAUGAGACACGGUCCAUACGCUAACGGGAGGCAGCAGUGGGGAAUAUUGCACAAUGGGCGCAAGCCGGAUGCAGCCAUGCCGCGUGUAUGAAGAAGGCCUUCGGUUUGUAAAGUACUUUCAGCGGGGAGGGGUUACCCGCAGAAGAAGCACCGGCUAACUCCGUGCCAGCCCCGCGGUAAUUC
rnacentral:rRNA from 1 species